AUUGAACGCUGGCGGCAGGCCUAACACAUGCAAGUCGAGCGGAUGAGGAAAGCUUGCUUUUCGAUUCAGCGGCGGACGGGUGAGUAAUGCCUAGGAAUCUGCCUGUUAGUGGGGGAUAACUCGGGGAAACCCGGGCUAAUACCGCAUACGUCCUACGGGAGAAAGUGGGGGAUCUUCGGACCUCACGCUAACAGAUGAGCCUAGGUCGGAUUAGCUAGUAGGUGAGGUAAUGGCUCACCUAGGCGACGAGCCGUAACUGGUCUGAGAGGAUGGUCAGUCACACUGGAACUGGGACCCGGUCCAGACUCCUACGGGGGGCAGCAGUGGGGAAUAUUGGACAAUGGGCGAAAGCCUGAUCCAGCCCUGCCGCGUGUGUGAAGAAGGUCUUCGGAUUGUAAAGCACUUUAAGUUGGGAGGAAGGGUAUUCACCUAAUACGUAGGUACUUUGACGUUACCAACAGAAUAAGCACCGGCUAACUCUGUGCCAGCCGCCGCGGUAAUAC
rnacentral:rRNA from 1 species